CCAGGUCAGGAGGCUGUUCCACUGGACACAUGGAAGGCAGAGGUCCUCUGGAAUCCUGAACAGCAGUGCUUCCACGGGACCUGGAACACUCGGCAGCUCACAGGUGCAGGACGGGGUGAAGGUGACGUAGAUGUCAGGAAUGCCACUGCAGCGGGAGUAGCCGUGCCCACCACAGGCCAUCCGACAUUCCUCAAUGCCAGCAUUGGCAGUCCAGGAAGUGAAGGCCUUCAGCCCCGCUGUCAGCGCGUGGAGCUGAGGGACAAAGCAAAGCCAGUUUAGAUUUAUUUCCCAUUCUUGGCUUGCACAUGUACGUGCAGCUCCCAGAAAAACACCACUCCUGCACUGUCCCACAGGGUCCUGUUUUCCUCUUUCCUGAGCCAAACUAUUUAUAGGAAAACCUCUGUACAUGGAAAGUCCACUUUUGAGUACGCCACCCUUUCUGUGCCUACGCAUUUUAUGUACAAGUCUGUCUUCAACUGCCUGUUGUCACACCAGGUUCUCAGACAGAAACCCUAACAGAAAACAAACAUUUUACAACCCUGGCCCCUCAGUAUGGUAUUGAUACCUUUGAUCAACACACCUGUUCUACCCCAGCCACUUGGAAGAACAAUUCAGAAGCUACAGCACAAGCAUAAGACCAGUCUCAACUCCCAAGUGAUAUGCCAUCAUUCCUAAAAAGUCAUCUUUUGAUAAAAUAUAUUCCCAGUAGCUUUCUCACUGUGCAUUACUCCCUGUUUUUUAUAAAGUGCUAAAUGAAUAGUGCGAAUAAAGAAGUAAAGGUUACCAGCA